CGAAGUUGUAGUUUAAAGAGAAUAUUAGCAUUGGAAGCUAAAGAUUAGGUAAGUUAAUCCUACUCUUCGA
rnacentral:tRNA from 1 species